GCACCUGUAGUGUAGUGGUAGCACGCGUCGCCGGAAACGGUGAGGCGCGGAUUCAACUCCCGCCUGAGUCGCA